UCUCAUGCAUGAGCAAACAAAGUGGUUUCUUGAGAUGGAAUCUACUCCUGUGAAAAUAGUGUGAA
rnacentral:pre_miRNA from 1 species